rnacentral:rRNA from 1 species
CGGACGGGUGAGUAACGUGUAAAGAACUUACCAUAUAGACUGGGAUAACAGAGGGGAAAACUUCUGAUAAUACUGGAUAAGUUAGAAGUAGCAUUACUAAGUAAUGAAAGGUAGCAAUACGCUAUAUGAGAGCUUUGCAUCCUAUUAGCUAGUUGGUGGGGUAAAAGCCUACCAAGGCGAUGAUAGGUAGCCGGCCUGAGAGACCGACCGGCCAGAUUGGGACUGAGACACGGCCCAGACUCCUACGGGAGGCAGCAGUC